rnacentral:rRNA from 1 species
CAGCUGACGGAGCACGCCGCGUGAGUGAUGAAGGUCUUCGGAUCGUAAAACUCUGUUAUUAGGGAAGAACAAACGUGUAAGUAACUGUGCACGUCUUGACGGUACCUAAUCAGAAAGCCACGGCUAACUACGUGCCAGCAGCCGCGGUAAUACGUAGGUGGCAAGCGUUAUCCGGAAUUAUUGGGCGUAAAGCGCGCGUAGGCGGUUUUUUAAGUCUGAUGUGAAAGCCCACGGCUCAACCGUGGAGGGUCAUUGGAAACUGGAAAACUUGAGUGCAGAAGAGGAAAGUGGAAUUCCAUGUGUAGCGGUGAAAUGCGCAGAGAUAUGGAGGAACACCAGUGGCGAAGGCGACUUUCUGGUCUGUAACUGACGCUGAUGUGCGAAAGCGUGGGGAUCAAACAGGAUUAGAUACCCUGGUAGUCCACGCCGUAAACGAUGAGUGCUAAGUGUUAGGGGGUUUCCGCCCCUUAGUGCUGCAGCUAACGCAUUAAGCACUCCGCCUGGGGAGUACGACCGCAAGGUUGAAACUCAAAUGAAUUUUGACGGA